AAAACCCCAACACCCCCCCUCAAGUUGGAGGGGAGGAUGAAACACCCAACUUGUCCAAUAAUCUAUGGUGAAUCGGGCCAGUGAGGGACUUCGUAAACAGAUCUGCAAGUUGCGAAGUCGAUUUGACAUAAGAGAGUGAAAUCAGACCAGCGAGGUACUGUUGACGGACGAAGUGACAAUCAAUUUCAACGUGCUUCGUCCGUUCGUGAAAUACGGGGUUCUUUGCUAUGUGGAUGGCUGCAAGACUGUCGGAAUGGAGUGGAAUCGGCAAAGAAAUUGGAACGGAGAGAUCCUCAAAUAAUCGUACUAACCAGGUGCCCCAGUCGGAGUCACAGAAGGCGAGCAAUUUGUAGCAUGAGGAGGAGGACAUGAACAAACCAAGACCGGGAUCCCUCAAAAGAUAUCGCAAAACCCGAAAUGCAGCAGCAAGAUGUGGUUCACGAGGAUCUUGCAUAAAUUGGCUCAAAUGCUGCACGGUGAAAGAUAAGUCUGGUCUCGUGUGAGUAAGGUCAGACCAGAGGACUUGUGCACUUUGGGAGUACAACACACUUUCAGCAAUUUCUUUUGAUAAAGAGUUGAGCAACCAAGAGAGCACCAUGUUGUUGCAUCUUUCCCAAGCUUUCUGGAGUCCAGAGUCAACAGCUGGAACAGUUAGAGAUCCAUCAAUGAAUCCUAACUUGUUCUUAGCUGAAAGGGCUAUGAUAACAGCCCUCCUCCAGCCUCCAUAGCUUCUACCAGCAAAAAGAGCACCCACCAGGUUCAUUCCUGGAUAAUCUGAUGGGUGAAUGUAGUAUGGAUGAGAUGAAUCCACAACAUUAGUUGUAGUGGAUCCAUCAGUCCUUUCAAUAGAAGAAGAAAUAUUUUCUGGUGUGGGUAUUCCAUCUCCAGACAUUGUAAAAUAGUGUAUAGAUUCAAAAAAUGCAGAAAAGAAAGAUCAGUGUAAUUGUAAAUUAAGAACAGAAAAUAGAAUUGUAAAUAUGACUGAAAUUAGACCUGCUCUGAUACCAUGAUAAAAUAAAUGAAGAACAGUGUAUGAAAAUUUCUUGUUGUAUUUUCUGUGUGUCUUUUCU